UACGGGGGGGGCAAGCGUUGUUCGGAAUUACUGGGCGUAAAGGGCUCGUAGGCGGCCAACUAAGUCAGACGUGAAAUCCCUCGGCUUAACCGGGGAACUGCGUCUGAUACUGGAUGGCUUGAGGUUGGGAGAGGGAUGCGGAAUUCCAGGUGUAGCGGUGAAAUGCGUAGAUAUCUGGAGGAAUACCGGUGGCGAAGGCGGCAUCCUGGACCGGCAUUGACGCUGAAGCGCGAAAGCUAGGGGAGCAAACGGG
rnacentral:rRNA from 1 species